UCUAAUCCAAGAUAUGGUUGCUGGUAGAAGCUCUAGUCAGAAAUUAUACUCUACGUCAGCCAUCGGAGGUGGCUUCACAAUCUCUUCUGUCGGCUUUCGGACGAAACAAAUGGUCCACUCUAUGCAACUAUUAAGCUCUGCCUUGUUAAACGAGAGGCGCCCCCUAUUCAAGCUCUCCUGGUUAGGCUUAAAAAUGAGGGCAAAUAAUUUG
rnacentral:lncRNA from 1 species